rnacentral:rRNA from 1 species
GAUGAACGCUGGCGGCGUGCCUAAUACAUGCAAGUCGAGCGAACAGACGAGGAGCUUGCUCCUCUGACGUUAGCGGCGGACGGGUGAGUAACACGUGGAUAACCUACCUAUAAGACUGGGAUAACUUCGGGAAACCGGAGCUAAUACCGGAUAAUAUAUUGAACCGCAUGGUUCAAUAGUGAAAGGCGGUUUUGCUGUCACUUAUAGAUGGAUCCGCGCCGCAUUAGCUAGUUGGUAAGGUAACGGCUUACCAAGGCAACGAUGCGUAGCCGACCUGAGAGGGUGAUCGGCCACACUGGAACUGAGACACGGUCCAGACUCCUACGGGAGGCAGCAGUAGGGAAUCUUCCGCAAUGGGCGAAAGCCUGACGGAGCAACGCCGCGUGAGUGAUGAAGGUCUUCGGAUCGUAAAACUCUGUUAUUAGGGAAGAACAAAUGUGUAAGUAACUAUGCACGUCUUAACGGUACCUAAUCAGAAAGCCACGGCUAACUACGUG